rnacentral:rRNA from 1 species
CUAUAUAACCUUGCAACCUUGAACUUGCCCCGUCUCAUCUGAUCUUGGAAACCAAGCAGGGUCCACUACGGCAAGCAAUGAGGUAGAGUGGUAUGUUGA